GCUGGUAACAAAAAAAAUUUCCAAAGAUGUCUGACAAACCAGAUCUCGAGGAAGUCACCAAAUUCGACAAGACUAAAUUGAAGAAAGCAGAAACCAAAGAGAAAAAUACCCUACCAUCGAAAGAAACAAUUGAACAAGAAAAGAGCGGAUGAACCAAAUUUUGAUGUCAAUGUAAUUAUGGGAGAUUUAAAGAAUUAUCAAGUUUGAGAUAACAUGGAUUUAUGCUGUGAAUAAAGUUGCCAUCAGUGAAUCCUACUCUUGAACUCAUUUCGUCUUUAGUGUUAUGAGCUUAAACUGUUUAUUUUCAUGAGUAGACAAUAAACGACAGCGAUUGUUUUUCUCUUGUUAAUUACUCUUUUCGUUGCUUUCUUGUGUCCAAGAAUCUACCGUUCGAGGACUGUUAUACUUGCUAAGAUACUUGGAAAGCAAAGCAAAGCAAAGCUUCUUAAGAAUUUGGCAAGGCUUGAGUCUCACGGUGAUUGCCCGCAACUCGCGCGCGAGUGAAGGGCUUAUAGUCUGCCCCGCGUAUAAGUAGCAUAUGGAAGCUUCAGUUCAUGUUGUCAGCACUUUUUCAGCAGAUUUUGUCACUUUUCUGCUGCCAUGACAACUGUCAAUCAAUUUCAUUGUCAAUCAAUCGGCUUUGUCGAGGAGGUCGUUAACCGCCACCUCUUUGCGCGGAAGGGAAUUAUCUUCGGAGCGUUGCUCUGCCAAGACUCUGUUAAAGGCCUUCGGUUUUUUUGGCAUGAAAACGCUGCUGCAUCACAGCUCGGUUCUCCGCAAUGGAUGGAAGUUUUGAUUCGAAGUUUUGGGAAUCAAAACCAGUCGAAUGCCACACUUUUCUCCCAAAAACUCGAGACCGUACGAGCAAAAGUUAUGAUUGUCGUGAUUAUCGAAAAAUAAAUGUCAAACCCUCGAAAAACUUCAUGAUUUUCAAAAGGGCGUUGGACUUAAAUCAAAGGCAAACUGAAAACCUGAGCUUGAUAAAAAGAAUAGUUUAGCUUCAACUAGAGCAGCUGUUUUUAUAGAAUUGUGAAAACCCAAGAUGGUGUCUUCUUCGAAUAUCCUGACCUACAUUUUCAAAACAAUCAUUAUCAAGGAACUAAUUGUUUGCGGGCAGUACUAGCAAGAGCUAUUUCUAGUUUAGGAUGGGCGCAAGAACGAUUCGCAUCAUUGCCCUGGACAGGGUUAUCCCCCAACGCCGCAGAAAAACAGCAGCUGACCCGGAAGAAGAAGUCGUAUUAUGUGAAAGACUCUCACAUGGAACAAUUAAAUCAAAUUCUCUCUACACUUCAGUUUUUCUAGAAGUUCCAAACGUCCAUUAGGUUUCGCGAUUUUUAGUACCAUUGUACAAUAUAGCACUUAGUUGUUUGUGACGUUUUUUCUUGCAUGGAAGUGCGAUUCAAAAACUCGUGUAUGUCUGCUGACUGGCGGCUAUCAUGUAUUGAAAGAUAUUACACGAAUUGCCAAGGGAGUGGGUAGUUGGAAGGGGUCACACCAUCCGAAAGCAACAAUGCCAUGAGAAAAUUCCUCCAUGAAAUCAUAUGUAAUCAUAUCAUCAACAGAAUAAUUUAAGUCUUCACAGAUAGAAAUUUUUGAUUUGGUUUUCUAUCAAAGCAUAAACUUUUGAAAUACUGUUCUGGGGUGAAAUACUGCGAACGUGAGUUGUUGAUGUCCUGGGGACACAGCCUAGCGCAUUUUUGCCACUCUCGGGUUCGAAAAUCAUCGUUUUCAGCCACGAGCACGGCCGCCGACGAGGGGCAAUUCAUUCUUGCAAAUAGCGUAUGAGAUUUUCCCUAAAAUAAAAGGAUUUUCACAAAAGGUGUACGGGAUUUUCUUGGAGUGAUUUGCCCCUCGGCCGCCGAUAGGGGGCAAAGGGACAGAGGGCCUCGGGGCCUUAUAAAGCAAUGAGUUUCGUUUUAAAAUGGAAUUAAUUGAAAUUAACCAUUUUGUGCCUAAAAUAGCAAACAAUUGUAAAAGAAUGAAAGACUUUAAGCUAAUCUAAAGGGCGUAGUUGCAGAAAUUUUCUGCUCGUUUCGUUUGCUGAGGACCUCAUCUUUUGGUUUUGCCCCAGAGCCUCCAAAACCUAUCGGUAGCCCUGGCCACGAGCCACUUUUUCAAGAUAACAAUCUUUUGUUAUGAUGAUGAUCACAAUCAAUUAUCGUUACCAACCUUCAUUAUCGACAUAUCCCCAUAUGGGCAAGAAGGGUGGCCAUCGAAAUUUUACAAAUCAGACAGGACAUGAAGGGUAAUAAGAAAAUAAGUCUACUAACUGUCACAAAGUAGUCUGAUUAUGUGGUGUAAGAGAAGAUGGAUCAAAAUCACUGGCGCUGUAUUCAGGGUAUACCCCCGAAACAAUCUAGAUAUAAAGCAUAAAAAUUUUUAAUAGUUCUGUUUGGUCGUAUAGUCUAAAUAUAAACUUCACAACAUUUUAGAAUUAAUCAUUUCUGGCCUCUUGAAGUCUUAAAAGGCACAUUACCCAGGCGUUUUCUCAAAUAUAACUUGUAUAACUUUUCAAACUUCAGUUUUCGUGUCAUCCUCUCUUAUUAUUUGCUGAAGUAAAACAGUCAGAAUUGGACUUUAGACGAAAUUCUAUCCUUUUCAUAGACAAUCUUCUUUUUGCUUAUUCAUGAAGCAAAAUUGCAAAUAUAUGUCUCAUUCCAUUAUUGCAAAUUUUGGAACAGACACAAAUCUCACAAAACCAGGGGCGUAAAAGCCUACCAAAAAGUGAGAGGGGGCACUACAAUAGAAGCGGAAAUUGAGAAGCAUGUCCAUUGAUAAAUUAAAAUUCGUUGUUUAGCUUCAGUACCCAUUGAGCGCAUAAUUAGACAAGUAGAUCACAUAAAACAAGCUUUGAGUCUGCUCUGAGAAAAGAGAAAAUUGGUAAAAACCAGGAUAAAAAACCAUCUCACCAAGAAUUUACCAAAAUAUUGCUUGCGACAAUCUUUGCGCUGCAAAAAGUUUUUUGCAAUCUUUUUCUAUAUUUUUUCAGCUCUUUGCUAACGAGAACACAGCAUUAUCAAGUUGUUGUAUCUCCAUUCUGUCAUACUACUUCUACUCUCCGCUGAGCUGAGAAUAAUCAUUCUGCUGAAGCAGAAGAUUGUGGAGCCGAAGCGUAGAUUUUAGGCACUUUGAAAACUUCUGAGAGAUAUCGUUAUAAAAGAUAUUCUGAGAGAAUUUUUGUUAUAAAAGACAAUUUCUACAAUUUUGUCCAAUGAUGUUACACCUAUUACUUUAGGAGCCAAGUACUAUUUCUGGAAGAAGUUCCAACUGUGGUGUCAACUGAAAAAAUCCCCGCCUGUUUUGUAUCCAUCCCUCACUUGCUCGCUAAUUUCAAACUCUCGACCAUUUACAGCAUCCAGAAAAGCUUUUUCUAUAUAGGGCAUACGAUAUGUCAUCAAAUAUUCUACCUAUUUCUACAAAGGCAUACAACAACAGUCUCAAAAUUUUGCAAUCGGUAGAAUGGUUUGACAUCCAAGAAUGAAAAGAUGGAAACAAAAUGAGUGUAAGUUUAGUAAGUCAGUUUAGUAAAAUGGAGCAAUGACGUGACACGUGUUUAAUCUCAAGAGGGGCACUUCCCCUCAUCCAUAAAAGGAGCAUGCUUCAAGUUAGAAAAAAGGUGGGGCACGUGCCCCCUAGGCCCAGUGGCGACGCCAGCCACUGCAGAGUGGGAGGGAAAUGGGCGUGACAAACGAGACCGCGCCAUUUUGCCUCGUUUCAGUACUUUGUACCAAGUGAAUUUUCCAAAGGCAAAGAUAUUAUCAACCCAUACUUUACUCUUUUUGAUCCAUUUAUAGAAGAAUUACGUGGACCAUGUUUUGACAAAAGUGGGGGGGGGGGGGUAACUAACCCCACAUCCCCUUGGCGCCGCCACUGCCUAGGGCCCUGGGUCCCACGCCACUGACCAAAAUCGUUAUUUUCAAAGUCAAAAUAGACAUGAUUUUAACCAACAAUGGUACGCGCUACCAAACAUCUAUUAUGUGGUUUUCAAUUAUGUACAAGAAGUUAUAACAAAACAUGCUUUAGAUAAGUUGCAGAAUAAGAUUUUGCCUGCUGAAAAUACCAACAUACCACGGUAACAAUUGGGGUUUCGUAAAAGGUAAACAUUGCAAAUAUUUUCAAUUCGGAGAAAAGUUGACAUACAGAAAACACUUUUGGGAUUGAAAAAGGCAACUGACACGAUUUCUCGCGGUCAAUCUAUGAGGUCGGAAAAAGAUACGCUGGUUUUGCCCAUAGAACAGGCCUUUCUGUCAAAUGUGUAAAUUUCUAUGCCACUCGCUUUUAGCUUCGGUUCUUUUUUUCCAAUAUACAGACGGUUCAAAUCUUUAUUUGAGAUACAUAUGCUUUUUCGUACUAUUCAUAACCAUUCAAAUGUGGGAUAGAACGGAAUGGUUGCAUAUUCCGGAAUAUGAAAAUCCCACGUCUAAUAACGUACGGAAGAGAAGAUCAACUAAGAUUCGAGGUCUUGUAAAGCGAACCCGGUCAUAAAAUAACUUCACAAUAAAAUCGACACCAGGCCGGCACAUUUACUCGAAAAAAUAGCAGUCGUAAGCCAAUAUACUCUAACGACUUUCCUUUACACAAGUUACCAUCAGGUCAGAAAUGAGAACUAGAAACGACAACGUUUCUUCCAAGUGGACAGCUGACAAAAGCAUAACGGAUUUCAGUUAUUGUCUUUGAGGAUGUGUCUAUGCCAUCAUUCUGCAGUUUCAGCUGUCCAUUGGUUCGAUUCCUGCUAAAGGUUAAAACCCCAAUCCAUCCAAAGACUACAAAAUCACAUCCAGAAUCUAAAUUGACCCCUUUGUUUGGGGAAAUCACGCAUAAACAUAGUCUUUUUUGAGAAAGCAAUAUUUGUUCAAAUGAUCGAAAGUCCGAAUGAAUGGCGGGGAUUAUCAAAGUGGGAAAACGUUUCCCCGUCGACAAACAACAAAUUCGAAUUUUUAGGGUUCUGACUGGUACUUGGAGCAAGUCUAAACCAUUGGUCUGAACAGGUGAAUAUCAUAUAGCUCCUUUGCAGAAAACAUCUACGACGAUGGUUGAAAGGGUCUAUCUUCCAUGUAGCCAUGUUACAAUCUCUACGAAAAAGCCAUGUUUAAUAGUUUGGAGGGUAUUUCCUCUAAGGAAUGAAUACUGAAACAUUUCUGCAACGACUUAACAUUCGCAAGAUUGUAUCACAUUACAUUCACGAGACUUUUUUACUGAGUUGAAUCAGGAAAAUUUUGGAACAAUUUAUGCAGGAAAGACAGAAAAGGAAACCAAUUCUUUACCGCAGACGCAUGAAAAUGACGCUGAUGGUUAUGGUAAGACAAGGCGGAUUGGACUUCAAAUUCUAUUAAAAGUUGUAAUGAAACUAAUAUCUACCUUGUCAGUAUUGCUAAAACAUCUGGCUAUAUCAGCUAGCUUCAUCUCUACAUAACCCAUUUAUCUACAUCAAAAUCCAUUUAAGUCUUUACCGCAUGCACAUGAUGCAAAACAGCGGCCUAGGUUCCCGCUGGAGUGCCUUGAUAAGCAUUAGCAGAACCAUUGGCAUAUGGGGCUCCCAGUCCGAAAAGAUGUCCACAAUACUUAUCAUCGUCGAUGUUGUCUUCAAAGAACAUCUGUAAAAAUAGAAAAUUUGAUAUUAUCUGCUGUGUAUACAUUCUGGUGGUUUACAGACGGAGGGGGGAGGGGGAUAUUUCAGGUUCGCAACUUGUAUGAGAAUUUAGCUAUUCUAUUUCGGUAGAUUCCUGUCUUGACGAAUUUUCAAGGUAUUAAAUAAUUUGAUAGGAAAUAAGAUAGAGUAACUAUCAAUGAUAGUUGGCAUUAAUUAGCGAAACAUUAAACGCUACGUCAAACUCAAGAGAUUAAAAUAAAUUAUAAAUUAGCUAAUCAAUUAAAUUAUUCAUAGACAAUUAACUUUAAUAACUCUAUCUGCAUAAAACUUGAGACAACUAAUGAGAAAAUGUCUCUAUUUUCCUUGGGGACAGUCCCUUACUUUGUUCCAAUCUCUUUGGGUAGAGAGCAUGACAAUGAGAUGAUAGGCUCAAAUACAAAAUUGAAAGGUUAUGAAAAAUCAAUGUUAGUAUAAUGAAGAAAAUACUUGACAAUCAGGGACAGUAUAUUGCUUUUUGCAGGAUACCAUGAGGUUCGUUAGAGUUGGUAAUGUGUGAAAGGGUUCAUUUUAAGCCUUCCUUAUCGUUAAGGUAAAGAAAUACAUUUAAGAAUGGAGAAAAUGAUACAAAACGAAAGGAAUUUUAAGUAUCCAGACCAUAGGUAUUAGGGACAUCAAUGAUUGAUUUUGCAACAAUAGGGUGGUUGUGGAGAUGGAGAAUGUGCCAAGCAAUUCAGAUGCCAUCAAAGCAUCGUUGAAAAUGGCGCAAAAAUGCAGAUCCUGACUGGGUAUGGCUUCCAGAAAAAACAACAUAUCGACACAUUCAACCUUCAACAAUUGACAGCAAACCCCACACAAGCAGAUUGUAUUUGCGUGCUUAUUGUUUCACAAUUUGCUUUCAGAACACCAUUAUCCUAUGUCUAGUUGAUUAAGUAACAAUUCAAGGAGUUGCUUAAUUAAACUCACGCGAAGAGCCUAGAAGAGUCGAGUAAACUUAGAGGUAUGAAGCUGACUUGACAGGUCAAAGGAAACUUCAGCUGUUAUGAAGCUACUGUUAGUCGAUUGAUUUGACUAUUUUAUAUUAUCCAGUAGUAAUUGGAUGAGUAAAAUUGAAGUUCUUUGUUUGUCAACAGAAUAAUAAGUGUGAUAGAGCUUUUAAGUGUCACCAUGGCAUGUAAAACGGUUUGUUGAACGAUGAAUGAGCUAAGACAGCUUAACUCUGCUCAAGUCGUGCCCUAGAUUGUGGUUUUUGAAAGAAAAUAUAGAACUCUUUAGAUGAUUUUUGAACACAGCUAAAUGGGCAGAAGUACUCACGCCUCUUAACAAAGAAUCUAGAAUGACCCGACAGUGCAUUGAAAAUCCAACACCACUUUAUUCUUGCAAAAAACUUUUUUAGCAUGAUAGAGUUUCAUUAGGCAUGUAGCAAAGAGUAGGCAAGGAUCUGGGCUCUGCUCGGAUAAUAUGGCCAUAUAUCUGUCUGAUAGCUUCUGUAUUACGAAAAAUUAUGAAACGAUUGUUAGACCAAGGAGUUUACCUUUACUAGGGCUUACCUGUGAGAUGGUUACUCGGCGAAAUUAAGUACAUAAUACAUUGCAUUGGCUUAAAACAAAUUUUUGUGUUUUUAUAUGAACACGUGAGCUAAUUCGACAUCUCUGUUAAAUGGAGGUGCGCAGGCUAGUCAGAUCAUACUAUUAACAAACUCAAGAACCAUAAUUUUCUAGCUGAUGAAGAAUUUGCUUUAGACAAGACGUCUUGCUGAGCGAGUAAGACAGGUGUUUCAAAAAGUUGCGUUACCUCUCUCAUUUUAAAAAAUGCAGCACCUGUCAGCAAGCUGUCGCUCCCUGCUUGAUGCUGGGGUCCGAUUCUUUCGAGCUAGGGAUCAAAUGAUAAGGUUACUAUCACCAAAGAUUCGCCUCUUGACAGAAAAAUUACCCUCUUUUUCGAGUCCCCCCAAAACACCCUAUUGGGAGCUAAUAAUGUGGCAUCCUAACGCAUCAUAGGCAAGGCAAGCCUUAUACCAGAUUUAGACCAACUUUUCACAACACGAAACACAGGAAACCAAUACAAUACAACACAAUUACAAUACGACACGAGACGGUCAAUAUAAUACAAAACGAUACAGUUGCGUGCAGCGUCAUCAUAUCAUAUCAUAGAAUAAAUAAUCAUAGAAUAAAUAAAGACACUAUGAAUAAGCAUAAAAAAGAUUAUUUUGAAAUUAAAAAAGUGGAACUACAUUUAGCUGAGAAUAAUAAAAAUAAAUGUUAUACAGGUCUACCAUUUACUGCCCGAUGCGGUGAGGACAGAGCUGUACACGAUUUGAUGUAUAAUAGAACAGGAUGGUUUAAAGUAUAAAACAGGACUACGAAUUAUACGCUUUAUGUUUUCAUCAGGCAACUGCUCUUCCUAAUGGCAACAUUCAAACAACAGACUAUAGUUGAAAUUAUACUAGUAACAAAGAGGCAAGAAUAACCCUAACAUUGAAUGCUAAAUGAAUACAUUCACCGGAAUUCUUACAGCUUUUAAAGUCAGGGGUCCACUCACCUCUAAAAGUUCGGCCACUUCCUGCAGGCCGCCCUUCAAGCUCUUGCAGCUUUUCAUCAAAUAUUUAAUGUCGUAAACAUUGUUAAAAUACAGUCUUAGCAAAUCGAAAAAAUCGGACUCCUCCACUGGCAAGUUGGAAGCUGUGAGGACCUUCAACAAGUACCCAAAGUCAUACGCACUGCAAAAGACAAACCAUUUCACAAAUACAGUCUUUGGUGAGUCAAACGCGAAAUAGAACUAAGCAAUCGGGCCGGGGAUAUGAUAAUACUACCAGCCUACAACACUCCUAGACUAGUUAACAACAAACUUAAGAUCUUUGAUAGCAUUUCAUUGCUAUUAGUGAAAAUCAGCAAGGAUAUUGAAGUGCAGUAUAUUCUUAAGAUGCUCUGGCAAAUAUUAGAAAAAAUUGAAAGAGACUUCAGAAAAUUGUACAAAAUCUUCUCAUUUUAUGAGGAAGGUUAUAACAAUCGUAAAACUAGUCUAUAUAACUAGAGAAAGGAAAGCUGACAAUGUUUCCCGAACCUUGAAUGAAAGGUUAAAUGAAAGGUUAAACAAAAGGUUAGGUUAAGAUAAACAAAAGGUUAAGCUUAAGGUUAAACCAAGGUUAUAUUUCACGGUUAAGACUAAGCGCUCAUAA